rnacentral:lncRNA from 1 species
GGAACUUGGGUGUAUCACGAUCCGGUUUCACCUAUAUACAAAUAGUCCCCUGGUUUCUCUGAGAGUACACGACGAGAAACGACAUGAGCUCCUAUUUCCUACUUCGAUACAUCGUGACAGAAAUGAGAAAACAUUCGAAACGUCUCGUCAGUCACGUCACAAUGGCAUUAAAUUCAUAUAAGCCGCCCAUCGGGUAUCUCAGAAAGCGAAACAUCACCGAGUUCCUAUAAAUACCACCUCCUUUGUUUAUUUUUACUUUACAUCAAACCUUCUACCCUCUUAUUCCUAGGAUAUCAAUAUUCUUUAGCACUUUUACCCCCGUUAUUCAAGGUCCUUUGCAAAAAAUAGUACUCAUCUUCUUCUCAAUCCAACAAAUCCAAUCCUUCAACUUCCUUUCUUUGCUUAUCUUUUCCAGAUUUUCCUCUAUUUUUACUCUCUAAAAUAAUGACAAAGACUUUCAAAACCGUUUCCCAGAAAGAAGUUCCUUCUACUUCACGGUGUCAUGACCCAAAUCGAUGGGCCACGACGGGUGCUCGAGUCCUACCUGUCGAACAUCCUUAAGCAUGCAUCUAAGAUAAGAAGAGAGGAUAACAUCCUAUAUGUCCUGUAGACUCAUGUCUAUAAGUAUGGUGCACAACACACCCAUAAACAAGACUCUAUUAGACACGGUCUGUGGAUAACCCUAGGACAGACCUACUCUGAUACCACUUUAUGGGAAUGAAUAACAUAAACAUCUUUAACUGCUAAGAGUAGAAAAACUUAUGGAAUAUCAUUACGUUUACGUAUCAUUACUUGGAUCAUGCCAAAAGAAAAAAAAAUUAGCCUUAACAUACCUGAGUCGAUUCUCUUGACAAUACCUCUAACAUACGUUAGACGAAAGACAUAAUGGCGAGAUCGAAAUAGGGAACAAUCCAUAGAAAUGCUCAAAACAAUAACUUUGCUAUUGCAAAAUCCUCUUUUUUCAAACUCUUUCUCAAGGGAAUUAGCAUUAAUGUUAUGUAUGGAAUGCUUGCUGAAACUCUUCUUAGGAGAUUAGAGUUCACGUUACAUAAAAUGGAAAGCUUUGGCUGAAACUUUUCCUUAAGUAACUAUGAAAUGGGAAGCUUGAAUGACUUUUAGAAAAUGACGUUACUAAUGUUAUGGAAACUUUUGUUGAAAUUCUUUUCAUAAGAUAUUAUAGUUGUUAUUCUUACCUUUUUAGGUGGCCCCACAUAAUUAAGCUUGGUAUCACAAUUCAUUCUCAAAGUGUGACACUUUGCAACCGUUAAUACUUAGUCAUUAAAUGGAAAGGGAUGAUUGCCAUGUUAGGGGGAGGGGUUAAAUCUUAUCCCACUCUUUAAUUCGUUUACCCUUUAUCCUUCAUGACAUUUACUUAUUGCUUUUUAUAAUUAGCAUAAAUACAUAUAACCUCAAUAUAAUCUCGUCCCCGAAUCUACAUUGAUUAACUUACGAUAAUACUUUAACAUACGAAAAUGCGAGAUGUAACACGCGGCCGGUCACUGAGGUCUAAGAGACCGCUCCGGGCAUGGCGGUUGAUGAACGAGUACCCGAACCUCCCCUAAAAUGUUCAUCCCCGGGGGGACGCUCGGUCAAUGAUGAUUUCAGAAUUGAAAAGCCUUCCUCUGUACAGGGUCGGUGUAAGGAGGUCUCAAGAUACAUCUUCUCAAUUACUAAAGAGGUCCUGCCUACGGUCCGAAAAGAUUGAAACUGGGUCGAUAAAAACAUAGUGGUACAUGACCCCGAGAAGGCCAUUACCACACAUGUCGAGGGAUAUCUGAGUGUUUACACUUAUCCCUUUACAUUGGGACCAGUGGACUCGGUCAUUAUAGAUUUCUAUGAGAGAUACGAUGUAUGCCUCGAUCAGAUUCAUCCUUCAAUAUAGAGGAUCGUGAUCCUCCUGCGGCUUUUGUUGACAAAGUCGACUCAUGAUGUUUUACUGUGGAUCAUCUAUUCCAUUUGUACAGUCCCUGAAUAUUCCAAAGGGGCUGAUAAAGCUAGUGCGCCGGGUCAGGAAGGCCCCAUUCUCAAGUAUCGAUGAUCACCGGGAUUGAGGCUAGCAAGGCCUUUUUGUCCAAAUGAGGACUCCAAACUUGAUUAUGACUUAAUGCGGGCUAUUCCUCGAGAAGUGGAAUACGUCACAUAAGUAGAACUUUCCUUUGACUGUUGAUUUUAUGUUUUACUUCCCUUUUCCUUAUCGGUACUCAUGGUGAUGCAGCCGUCACUCGAGUCCCAAAUAUUGUCCCGCGACUCAAGGAGUGAGUCGAAGGUAUCAUUUCACAUAUGCCAUACUCUGAGCUCUCAUGGCACAAAAUUUCGAAGGGUCAUUGGGAGGCCCGUUCUCAUGGUAAGAUUCCCUUCUUAAAUAGGUUGUGUCAGGCCUUUUCUUUUAAUAACAAGUCCUUAUUUCCUUUACUUUCUUUCACAGGUUUGCCUAAGAACGUCGAUCUUAGGCCUCUAGUUGGUGGCGAGGACUUGCCUGUUAAGUCUCCUGCUCUAAGGUGGACCGAAGAGAAGAAAAGAAAGAGUACUCCGAGUUCCCCGAGCUCAAAGAAAAAGAAAACACGAAGAAGGCUGGUGCAUAAGACAAAGGAGAGCACCAGCCCCUGAGUGCUCGACUCGGACUCACUCCUCUAGCUCAGGGACGAGCCCGAGGAGGACGAUCUUUUUCUAGCCCAUGAGCAGUCUAUGCUCGAGGAACGGAUGACAGCUGAUGGGGAAACAACGGAGGCCAAUCCCUCUCAAGUUCAAGAGGCUAAUGCAGCAGUGAGGGUCGAGAACCCUCGAGAUGCUAGUUGACAUAACGAAAUCACCUUCAUUCACAGAAUCGAUAUUCGGUAAAGCUCAAGCACCAAAGGAGCAAUCGAAUAAGGGGUUCUAUGGAGCGAACGAUCCCUUUCAAAGAUUUUUCGAUGGCGUGGGCUCCAUUGCCAUGGAGGACGCCACCAGAUUAGGUGAAUUAGAAGUACCGAGGAAAAGUUUGUCUUCGGGGGAAAGUGGAUCUAAAUCAAGCCCGAGACUGGUCAACUGGUUCCCUACCCCAAGUGUGGAUCUUGGUCGGAAGUGGUCAAUUAUCAUCACCAUUUUGAAGGAUGCCCGGGUUCUUUCCACACUCGUUGGGGUAGCUAGUUAUCUCCGGUGCCUGGUAACCGAAGAAGACCAGGCAAAAAUGAACGAGUUGGAUUAUUCAUGCCUCUUCAACGAGGCACAACAUGCAUUGAACCGGGUAAGGUUUUACCAAACCUUUUAAUUUUUCAACCUUGGUUAUUGGUUAUCCUAAUAUUUCUUCUAAUAUUUGCAGGCCUUAGUGCUUCACCACGAUACCUUCCUUCGGUAUUGAGAUGAGCUGAGCCAAUUCGAGGCCGAAGUCAACGAGCUCGUUGAGAAGAGAGACAUGUACAAACUUCUCAGUGAGACAAGUGAAGGAGAGGCUAAGAGCCUUCGAGCCGAGUUGGACGUGUCUCGGAAAGAACACGUCGACCUGGUGGAAUAGGUAAAAUCUUUGAAGUUAGUGAUGAUGAGCUAGACAUGGUGACUAAUAGUCAAAACCCAUAGGUCCAAAUGAAGAUGGAUCGGAUCGACUAGCUCGGGGCCAAGAUGGAUGUAAUCAAGGUCAAUGAUGAAGAGUGGAAAGGAAAAAUGGACCUCUUGGCCUUGAAAAAGGAAACUCCCUGGGUGAAAUUGGCCUCGACAAAGGCUCAACUUAGAGCGAUGAGGGAGUAGGCUAAGGCACAGUCCCAAAAAAUUGAGGAGCUCAAGUCUUAACUAUCUCGGUUGUUGCCAAUCGGGAGACCCUCGCCAAGGAACAUAAAGCUGCCAAGUUGGUGGAUGAAAUAACUAAGUCUGAUGUCGAUGAGAUGGUGGCCCAGUAUAGAGCCGAUGCCGAGGUAGCCCAAGACCUCUUGAAAGACAUUGUUGAGAAUAAGAAGCGGCAUCCCCGAAGGGAGGCCCUCGAGGAGGUUCAUGCUCGGGAUUUUGAUUUAUCGACCGAGAUCAAAAGUGCUAAGGGGCUUGAGGCCGAGGCCAAGAAGUUGGCUUACCCCGAGGAUGAAAAAGACUUCGAGGGUCCAGGCAGAUCUAGGUGUAGAGAAGACCCUGAUGGUCCCGAUAAUGAGGCGGACUCCGGUGAGGACCAGGCUGCUUAGCUGCCUUGCAGAUGUUUUUGAUUUUUUGUUUUUUUGUCGAGAGUGUUUGGCCUUUGAAAAAUUUCUUGUCGAGGCAGUUUGGCCUUUGUAAAAAUCUUUUAAUAUAAUACAAGGUUUUCUUCCUUCAAUAAAUUUCAAACUUUUUCUUUACGAUUGAAAAGAUAUCAAAUGCCUUAGCACGUAAUAACUAUGUCUUAUUCGGACGUUCGAACAUGCCUCGUUCCUGAUAUUAUUUUGCUUAAGACUUGUGGGGGGCUCGGUACAACCAAAAGCUUUUCCCCAAAGUACUUAGAAUAUUUUAGAUUACAAUUUUGUCGAGGGUAGCCUUUUGAACUGGUUUAGAAAUUUUGAAGGCCUUAUGUUUUGGUUAUGGGUGUCGGACACCUCAGAACUGUUCUAGGAUAGUCGUAGCCUUUUUUCGUUCGGGUGUUUCCCAAUGGGCUUGUUACCCCAAGUCAUCUGGGCUUACUUUUGACAACCGUCCCCAAACGGGGAUGGCCGUAGCCUUUAAAGUACGGGCACUGCAUGAUAGGCUUUGUGUCCCCGGGCCUUGAUAUACCGCGUCGUUCAAGCCUACUUUGGACGACAGUCCCCGAGUGAGGUGGCUUUUGGGCUCGAUGUCUUUAGGGGACCAAAUGUAAGAAAGAAAACAACAAAAAAUUUAAGGGACAAAAUAUUUAUCCGUAAGGUAGAAACUUCCUUUCAUUUUUAUGCGUAAUGUACAAGGUUACACAUGUGUACAAGUUUUGUGUCACGUCUCAGGUGGUCUAUGUGGGCACAGUUCAUUUGACCGUUUGGCCCUUACAGUAAAUCCUAUCGACCGCGCCUAGACUGUUUGAUCACAAAUUUUCUUUCCUUGCUAAAAUUAUUCUCCAAGGGUGAUUCCCCCAGUAUUCGAGGCCUAUCAUAGAGAAGCCUCGGGUACUGUUGAUGCGAUUCUUGGCACUGAUUCAUAUCCGGUAUUCAAUUCUAAGUUAGCACGAUCUGUCGCUGCAUUAUUAAAAACCUUGUCGUAAAAUUCAUUUGGGACAAACCAGUUCAAGAAAAAAAGAGUGCAACACGUGCUUUCAGGCCUAAAAGUUGCAUCGUUUCUUGAAUAUUACCUGUAAAUGUUAGUUCAAUAAAUAAAUAAAAUAAAUGAAUGGGAUCAUACCUUAGCAUUGAUAUCGUUUCAAGUGAGCUACGUUCCAGUUGUUCGGUAGUUGCUCACCGUUCAUUGCUUCGAGUUUGUACGAUCUUUUUCCGGUUAUCUCGAUAAUUUGAUACGGACCUUCCCAGUUCAGUCCUAGCUUCCUUUCGUUUGGGUUCCGAGUGGUUAGUGUGACCUUCCUUAACACCAAGUCCCCGACAUUGAAGUGUCGAAGGUUGGCUCUUCGAUUGUAAUACCUUUCGAUCUGUUGUUUUUGGGCGGCCAACCAGACGAGGGCGCACUCGCGCCAUUCAUCUAAUAGUUUCAGGCUCGUAUUCAUGUCCUCGUCGUUCGACUCUUCGGUCGCAUAUCGGAAUUUGAGACACGGUUCUCCUACUUUGAACGGUAUUAGAGCUUCGGCAUCAUAAACCAAUGUGAACGGGGUGGCCCUGGUACUGGACUUCAAGGUCGUAUGGUAUGCCCAUAGGACUUCAGCAAGAUUUCUUUCCAUUUUCCUUUGGCUUCGGUCAAUAUGUUUUUGAGAUUUUGGAGUCUGGUUUUGUUUGUGGACUCCCCUUGCCCAUUCCCACUAGGGUGGUAGGAUGUUGAUAGGAUCCUUUUGAUCUUAUGGUCUUCGAAAAACUUACUUACUUUGCUAUCAAUGAACUGCUUCCCAUUGUCGCACAUGAUCUUGGCCGACAUUUCGAACCGGCAUAUUAUGUGGUCCCAGAUGAAAUCAAUGACUUCCUUCUCCCUGAAUUUCUCAAAUGCAUGGGCUUCCACCCAUUUAGAAAAAUAGUCAGUUAUAAACAAUAUAAAUUGAGCCUUACCGGGUGCCCAUGGAAGGAGGCCGACGAUGUCUAUCCCCUAUUUCAUUAACAGCCAGGGUGACAAGAUCGAAUGCAACAGCUCCCCGAGCUGAUGAAUCAUUGGAGCAUGCCUUUGACAUCCAUCACAUUUUCGUACGAACUCUUUCGCACCUUUUUCCAUGUCAAUCUAGUAGUAGCCAGCUCUAAUUAUUUUCCGAACCAAUGAUUCGGCGCCCGAAUGAUUUCCGCAUGUGCCUUCGUGGACUUCCCUCAGAACAUACUCGGUAUCUCCUGGUCCUGGACAUAUUGCAAGUGGGCUAUCUAACAUUCUCCAAAAUAGGGUACCGUCUUUGGACAAGCUGAACCGGGCCACCUUCGUACGUAGAGCCCUUGAUUCCUUGGGAUCCGAGGGCAGUGUUCCGGUAUCCAGGUACUCUAUAUGCUUGUUUCUCCAGUCCCAAGUUAGGCUUGUUGAGUUUAUCUUGGCAUGACCUUCUUCCACUAUCUAUCUCAUGAGAUGUACGACCGCCCCCGAGUUAAAAUCGUCGUUAACCGACGAUCCCAAGUUAGCAAGAGCAUCAGCCUCACUGUUUUGAUCCUGAAGCACAUGUUGUAAGGUACACACCUUGAACCGAUGUAAUCCAGGUAUCUGUUCAUUCGUUCCUCCCAGACUUCAAACAUCUCAUUAACUUAGUUCACCACAAGGAGGGUGUCAUGCUUAGCUUCGAUCACCUCUGCCCCCAAACGUUUGACCAGUUCGAGACUUGCAAUCAUGGCCUCAUACUCAGCCUCGUUGUUAGUCAAUUUUACAGUCCUGAUAGAUUAUCUAACUACACUAGAUGUUGGUGUCUUCAAUACUAUGCCAAGUCCGGAUCCCUUUGCGCUUGAGGAACCGUCCGUAAAGAGGGUCCAGAUUCCCGAAGAAGUCCCCGAGUUCAAAAACAACUCUCUUUUGACCUCGGUUAUCAAGGCCGACGUAAAGUCGGCCAUGAAGUCUGCCAAAAUUUGAGACUUAAUGGCGGUCUGGGGUCGAUACUCGAUAUCCUACCCACUGAUCUCCAUGGCCCAUUUGUCCAAGCGCCCCGAGAUGUUGGGUUUAUGCAUUAUGUUUCUCGGUGGGUAAUAUCACACCUCUUUUUUACUACCCCGGAAGGGUAUAAGUGAGUUUUUUCCAAUUUAAGUGACAAUCGAAAUGGGAUUUAUUUAUUUAUUUAGAGUCGCCACUUGAGAUAAUUUAUGGUGUCCCAAUUCACUAGUUUAGAAUCCCGAAUCGAGGAAUAUUUGGCUCUAAUUAUGGUCUGCGAACACAGAAAUCCGGGUAAGAAAUUCUGUUAACCCGAGAGAAGGUGUUAGGCAUUCCCGGGUUUCGUGGUUUUAGCACGGUCGCUCAACUGUUAUUAUUGGCCUAUUUAUUUGAUCUUUUACACGUUUUAAACCUAUUGUGUAUUUUUAACCUUUUAGCCACUUUUAUUUAUUUAAAGAAUCAAUUCAAGGUUACCUAAAACAUAUCGCGAGCUACGCUACAUGAAAUGCACCCGUGGUUCACAACACGUUCUAUUUAACCUUGUUGGAAAUUAGAACCGGGUCACAUGAAAUGUACCCCCAGGUUUUAGUAAUAGGUGUGAUAAUUAUAUAAUUGACGUGCCUAAAGCAACUACGAAGUUCAUUUUUAAUAUCUAAAUUAACAUUUGUGAGGGCCAUAGAUAAUUUAAUUUGCUUAUGGCAUACCUCAAAUCUAUUUCCUCAAGUACUGAUCAAAUGGAAUUGUCCCGUCAACAAAUUUGCUAAUAAAUGACAAUGAACAAUGGUGGCAUAUCUUCAACAGCAAUUAAGGCAUCGUUUGUCAUUAGUUUUUUUUUUGAAUUCCAAAGAAACUCCAAAAAAUCUUCCUUGGCAUGUGAACAUACUAAUGCGAAUUGAUAUGGAACCAUCAGUACAUUUUCUUCCCUUUUUUUCUUAGUCAAGCCUAAUUAAAAGGCUAAUGAUCCAACAAUGAUCCCAAAACUAACCGGUAGAGAACAUGAAAGCAACGUGAAUUCCAACUCAUGCGAACAUACUAACAAUCUCAAGCACACACACAACAAAGACUUCAUACCAUAAAAAAUUGAUAUACAAGAUUGAAGAGAAAGAUAAGAGUGAGAAACGGACCUCCAAAAUUAAUAUGAUUCUGUUUGUUUUGAAGCUUGACAAUGCACAGGACCGCGACCAGGCCUCGACAAGCGAAAGAUUGACCGAAACUCGUGGGAGAAACUCGAAUCUCACCGAUGACUCGAACUCUACUCGACCCGAAGAACAAUGAAUCUCAAAGAGCUGAUCGAAAGUGAAGUUUGAUGCGUUUUCGGGGUUGCGGCGGGGCUGAUUUGAGCCGAAUUUUCAUACGAUUUUUUUGAAGUUGUUUUCAGCUGGUUCUUGUAGAGAGAGGGACAGCGAUUUAAAGGUGAGCUCGUGGUUGUGCUUGUUCGAGGACGGAGUGGCUGGCCGUUGGAGGAGGGCAGCGGCGGUAGGGGGCUGGUUUUUUGGUGGUCGUUGUUUUGUCCUCAGCCGAUGCUCCUUUCAGCUCUUUUGGUCCCUAUCGGCGUUAGCUCUGGGCCUUUUCUGAAGAAGAUGAAGAAUAGUGGGGUGGGUUCUUUUCCUUGGUGUAGCGGCACUGAUCUCUUUUACUCUCUAGGUCUCUUAUGCUCUAGAGUGUUAUCGGUUGCUGCUGAUACUUUUAGCUCCUCUAGAAUUAUUGUUAGGUCUUCAAGGUUUUUCGGUUAGCUUCCUCAAAAAGAUGAUAUCGUGAGGGGUUCUUAUUUUGAGAAAACGGCGGAUUUGUCAUAGGGUCUA